GACGAACGCUGGCGGCGUGCUUAACACAUGCAAGUCGAACGGAAAGGCCCUGCUUUUGCGGGGUGCUCGAGUGGCGAACGGGUGAGUAACACGUGAGUAACCUGCCCUUGACUUUGGGAUAACUUCAGGAAACUGGGGCUAAUACCGGAUAGGAGCUCCUGAUGCAUGGUGGGGGUUGGAAAGUUUCGGCGGUUGGGGAUGGACUCGCGGCUUAUCAGCUUGUUGGUGGGGUAGUGGCUUACCAAGGCUUUGACGGGUAGCCGGCCUGAGAGGGUGACCGGCCACAUUGGGCCUGCGAGAGGGCCCAGACUCCUACGUGAGGCAGCAGUGGAGAAUAUUGCACAGUGGGCGGAAGCCUGAGGCAGCGGCGCCGCGUGCGGGAUGACGGCCUUCGGGUUGUAAACCGCUUUCGCCUGUGACGAAGCGGGAGUGACGGUAAUGGGUAAAGAAGCACCGGCUAACUACGUG
rnacentral:rRNA from 1 species